GUUAUUUGGAGAAUAAAUAAUCUUACCUGCUCAGUGAUGAAUGGCUAUAGUACUUUAACUAUACAAAGGUAGCAUAAUCAUUUGUUUUUUAAUUGAAGACUGGAAUGAAAGGUGUUUCUGGGAAAAAGGUUUUAUGGAUUGAAAUUUAGUUUGGGUUAAAAACGAUCUUAUGAGCUCCUGGGACGAGAAGACCCUAGAAGCUUGAAGAAUCUUUUAGUUGGGGUGACUAAAGAAGAAGAUUAACUUUUUUUAAGUUACUCUAGGGAUAACAGCGUUAUUAAGCUGGAAAGUUCUUAUUGAGGGCUUAGAUUGCGACCUCGAUGUUGAAUUAAAGGGUGAAGAGGCUCUAGUCUGUUCGACUAAUAAAUAUUUACA
rnacentral:rRNA from 1 species